UUUAGAGUUUGAUCCAUGGCUCAGAUUGAACGCUGGCGGCAGGCCUAGCACAUGCAAGUCGAGCGAGAAAGCCUUCGGGUGAGUAGAGCGGCGGACGGGUGAGUAACGCGUGGGAAUCUACCGAGUAGAGGGGGACAACAGUUGGAAACGGCUGCUAAUACCGCAUACGCCCUGAGGGGGAAAGCAGGGGUUCCAUUUAUGGACCUUGUGCUAUUUGAUGAGCCCGCGUUAGAUUAGCUAGAUGGUGGGGUAAAGGCCUACCAUGGCGACGAUCUAUAGCUGGUCUGAGAGGAUGAUCAGCCACACUGGGACUGAGACACGGCCCAGACUCCUACGGGAGGCAGCAGUGGGGAAUAUUGCACAAUGGGCGCAAGCCUGAUGCAGCCAUGCCGCGUGUGUGAAGAAGGCUUUAGGGUUGUAAAGCACUUUCAGCGAGGAGGAAAGGUUGACGAAUAAUACUCGUUAACUGUGACGUUACUCGCAGAAGAAGCACCGGCUAACUCCGUGCCAGCAGCCGCGGUAAUACGGAGGGUGCGAGCGUUAAUCGGAAUUACUGGGCGUAAAGCGCGCGUAGGUGGUUAUUUAAGCCAGAUGUGAAAUCCUGAGCUUAACUUGGGUUUGUCAUGUGAAACUGUUUUGCUAGAGUCUGACAGAGGCGAGUGGAAUUUCCUGUGUAGCGGUGAAAUGCGCAGAUAUAGGAAAGAACACCAGUGGCGAAGGCGACUCGCUGGGUCAAGACUGACGCUGAGGUGCGAAAGCGUGGGUAGCAAACAGGAUUAGAUACCCUGGUAGUCCACGCCGUAAACGAUGAGAACUUGCUGUUGGGAUCCUUUGGGGUUUCAGUAGCGUAGCUAACGCGGUAAGUUCUCCGCCUGGGGAGUACGGUCGCAAGACUAAAACUCAAAGGAAUUGACGGGGACCCGCACAAGCGGUGGAGCAUGUGGUUUAAUUCGAUGCAACGCGAAGAACCUUACCCGGUCUUGACAUACUCGGAACUUUUCAGAAAUGAAUUGGUGCCUUCGGGAGCCGAGAUACAGGUGCUGCAUGGCUGUCGUCAGCUCGUGUCGUGAGAUGUUGGGUUAAGUCCCGCACCGAGCGCAACCCCUAUCAUUAGUUACCAGCACUUCGGGUGGGAACUCUAAUGAGACUGCCGGUGACAAACCGGAGAAAGGUGGGGACAACGUCAAGUCAUCAUGGCCUUUUGACCGGGCUACCCCGUGCUACAUGGGGCAUACAAAAGUCCCGGACCGCAUGUUUACCUAUCUCUAAAGGCUUCGAAUCGGAUGCCCUCCUGAGCUUAACUUGGGUUUGUCAUGUGAAACUGUUUUGCUAGAGUCUGACAGAGGCGAGUGGAAUUUCCUGUGUAGCGGUGAAAUGCGCAGAUAUAGGAAAGAACACCAGUGGCGAAGGCGACUCGCUGGGUCAAGACUGACGCUGAGGUGCGAAAGCGUGGGUAGCAAACAGGAUUAGAUACCCUGGUAGUCCACGCCGUAAACGAUGAGAACUUGCUGUUGGGAUCUUUGGGGUUUCAGAGGGUAGCUAACCGGUAAUUUUCCCCCUGGGAGUACGUUCCCAGACUAAACUCAAAGGAAUUGACGGGACCCCCCCAAGCGUGGAGCAUUUGGUUAAUUCGAUGCAACGCGAAGAACCUUACCCCGGUCUUGACAUACUCGGAACUUUCAGAAAUGAAUUGGUGCCUUCGGGAGCCGAGAUACAGGUGCUGCAUGGCUGUCGUCAGCUCGUGUCGUGAGAUGUUGGGUUAAGUCCCGCAACGAGCGCAACCCCCUAUCAUUAGUUACCAGCACUUCGGGUGGGAACUCUAAUGAGACUGCCGGUGACAAACCGGAGAAAGGUGGGGACAACGUCAAGUCAUCAUGGCCCUUAUGACCAGGGCUACACACGUGCUACAAUGGGGCAUACAAAGAGUCGCGAGACAGCAAUGUUUAGCUAAUCUCAUAAAGUGCUUCGUAGUCCGGAUUGCACUCUGCAACUCGAGUGCAUGAAGUCGGAAUCGCUAGUAAUCGCAGAUCAGAAUGCUGCGGUGAAUACGUUCCCGGGUCUUGUACACACCGCCCGUCACACCAUGGAAGUGGGUUGCACCAGAAGUCAAUAGCUUAACCUUCGGGAGAGCGUUGCCCACGGUGUGAUUCAUGACUGGGAUGAAGUCGUAACAAGGUAGCCGUA
rnacentral:rRNA from 1 species